rnacentral:misc_RNA from 1 species
ACCACAGUAAGGGAGAUAACAUACACAAGAGUUAUCUAACACAGCUUCUCUAUCAUCUAAUGUUGUGAAUUGAAUGAAAAGUUCGCUGUCAAGUAGAUAAUGGCAUCCAAUUCAAAGCCCCUGAGGUGACAGUGUAUGUUACACAAUUGAAUUAGCUUAAUCAGGAAGUUUUCAUUGUGAUCCGUGUGCAUGCUACCUUUUUCUCCUCCCUGUAUCGAAGACCCGCAUUCCAUUGCUAUGGUCUGUCACUGCAUGUCCGGGAUAUACCUUUUUAUUGUACCUGUGGCUAAAAAUAAACCAGGUGUUUUUCACGGAUCGUUGAUUUAAAUCUUGGCCGCUUUAAGAGACGUGUGUUCUCCAAUGUUAGCAUAUGUGUACAUACUGACAAAAACUUUGAUUCGCUGUGAAUAUGAGGAUUAAUUCAUUAUUAUUCCUUAUUGUGUGUUUUUAAUGAGUAGGGGGAUUAAUUGGACCCAAAGUUUUAAUACAUACCUAUACCGUUAGAUGAAGUUUUUUGGAAUACACAACCCAAAUUUAAUGCCAAGCCUAGAGGGAUCUGCAUGCACAGUGGAUUUAUCAGGGGUUUGAAGUUGGGAGUUGUGUGUCGUUUAUCAAACCAAGAGCCUGCUCUAAUUAAUUAAUGCUCUGUGGAUGGUAAGCCAUCAGGUCUGUGAGGGACCAUGGAGUGCAUGUUGGAACGUCGUCCGACCCGGGCUUAUGUGGAGGAAGAGAGGGAGGAGAGGGUGUACCACCCACCCCCCUCAGUCCUUCAGAAUCGAAGGUCCUCCGAAGAAAAGGACCGACACCUGCAGAAAAGAAUUGCAGAAUUACAGGCCCAGACCCAGCGACUGGAGCGAAAGAUCGGCCUCCUGAAAACUGAAAAUGACUCGCUGAGGCAUGAAAUUUUGAACGAAAAGAAACGACAGAAGGAUGAUCAGAAACCUUUGGAAGAGAAAAUCAAAACACUGAAGAAACGCAAUGCUGAGCUGGCAGCCAUUGCUAGACGUCUGGAAGAGAAGGCCAAGCAUCUGCAACAGGAAAAUAUGAAGAAAGUGAAGGAAGAGAUGAGCCCGCCCGAGUCAGAUCACAUGAAGAAGCUGUUUGCCCGGCAGAGGGCGAAAGAUUUAGCGGACCACGCCAAAGCCAUGCUGGCCAAAGGACCCAAUGCAGACUUCCUUGGUCCAGAGAAUGUGCAGAUGUACGAAGAGAAAGAGGAACUAGUCACCAUUAUCAAACAGGCGGCCAAAGAGAGGCUACAGAUGGAGAAGCAGCUCGCCAAAAUACGGCCAAAUCCGGCUGUGCAGGCAGAUUUGAAGAAGUUGAAGGAAUUAGAGACAACCAAUGAAACACUUCAGAAGGAACUCAGCAAAUUAGAGAAAGCCAGAGAAGACACAGAGAAACUCGAAAUCGAACUUACACAGAAGAAGAUCGAAUGUGAAACAUUAGCAGAAGAAAUCAAGAAGGAAAAACAGAGGAAUAAAGAACUUGAGAGUGAUUUACAGGAGAGUGCGGCCGAGAACACUCGACUGACGGUCCAAGUUUCCGAUCUCCAACACCGCCUGCAGGAUCUAGAACAGGUCAGUGAAGAGUGCAACAUCCUGAGGCUGAACUUGUCCGAGGCCCAGCACGAGUGUGAUCAAGCCAAACAAGAAAGAACAGCACUGCACGUCAAAGUAGGAAGUCUCGAGGAAACCAUCAAAAGUUUGAAGGACUCGGCCGAUCGCCUUAAAGACUUGGAGAAUGAGCAUCAGUCCACACUACAGCAACUACAGAACAAACAGAGCCAGCUCCAUUCUCUCCAACAGGCCCAACAGGAUGCCAAAGAGGAAUAUGAUAAGGCUCUGCACUCUCUAAAGAGUCGUGUGAGUGAACUUCAGCAGAACUGUCAACAACAGGAGGAUAGGCAUCGAGAGUUGACACAGGAACUACAGACUCUGAGAUCUGCAGCCUCCAAAAACAACUUCAAACAUCCAUCCAAUCACAGCCCAUCUCAUCACAGAGACUUAGCCAAUCACAGCCCAUCUCAUCACAGAGACCUAGCCAACCACAGCCCAUCUCAUCACAGAGACUUAGCCAAUCGCAGCCCAUCUCAUCCAGCCAAUCACAGUUUAUCUCAUCACAAAGAAUCAUCCAAUCAAAAGAGUUUGCCCACCUCUCAUUCUUUUCCUGUUGAAGAAAACUUUCACCAAUCAAAUGCAGGUCAACUGACGGAAUCGAGUCGGUUUCCUGGAAGUGAAAAUGUUCAAGUCGACUCCACCAAGUCUCUCGACACAGGUUUUGCAGACGAUGAAGAUUUAGACAAUUCACAAAAUCCGUCCCCUGACCAAGGCAAAGCCCAGGGGGAGUUUGAAGAUCCAGAACUCUAUGAAAUAGCCAAAAAAUUAAAAGAAUUGGAGGCUUCAGAUUCAGACGAGGAUAUUUUAUGUGAAGAUCGUGGAGAGGAUUCUGGAAUGGAAAGUCAAAAAGAGCAAAAGAUGAAGAUUUCUGCCAUAGAUGAAAGUCGCCACUCCAUCCUCGCAAAGAAAGGGCCAAUACAAGUGUUCCAGGCUAAAUACUCCUAUGAUCCCUUUCAGCAUUCGCCCAAUGAGAAUCCUGAUGCUGAGCUUCCCAUCAAUGCCGGUGACUACGUCCUGGUGUAUGGAGAAAUGGAUGAGGAUGGUUUCUUUGACGGGGAACUCCUUGAUGGCAGGAGGGGUCUUGUGCCUUCAAACUUCAUUGAAAAAGUUGCAGAUGAAGACCUAUCUGAGUUCCAUGCGGCCAUGUCGGACGCUAAUCACCAUGACGACGACAGCAUCAUUGGUAACAGCAUCCAGCAAGAUCUGGACUAUGACAGCAGUGAGGAAAUGGGGGGCAAGGACACCAAACAGAAGACACUAGAAAUGAAGAGUACUCCCGACAAACUGUCACCCCCUCAUCAACCAAAACAACACAAAGUGUUGACCUCUGUCAAGAUUCAGAGUCAACCUGUGGACACAUUACUGCCGUGUCCGCGAGAGCUCACCCUGGAGCGUCAGCUGACCAACAGUAUUGUCAUCAGCUGGAAACCCCCCCUCAACCACGCCCAGCUCGAUGUCAAGUCUUACCAUGUGUACGCUGACGGAGUGUUCAAAUCACUGGUCCGCAAAAACGAGAGGACGAAAGCUCUUCUAGAAAAUAUGGAUUCCAAGGAGGUUCACAGAGUCAGUGUAAGGUGUAACUCAAACCUGGGACAAUCGGCAGACAGCCAGUGUACCAUGCUGGUCGGAAAAGAUGCCGUUCCUGCUCCUAGCGACCUGAAAGUUAGCGAAAUAACCUCUAACUCCGCCCAAAUCUCGUGGCUGGCUCCUGCCAUGGAACACAAAGUGACAGUGACUGCUGACAGCCUGUCAAACAGCAGACAGGAGAAACUGUCAGCAUUUGUCAUCUUCAAGACACCAUCAGGAGGUGUUCCAGAGCCGCCUCUGAAUGUCCAGGUGGAGGCAGGACCCCAGGAGGGGACGCUACUGCUGACCUGGAUACCGGUCACCAUCGACUCCUCGGGGUUCUCCAACGGUGCAGUGGUAACUGGUUAUGUGGUUUUUGCUGAUGGUAGGAGAGUCAAAGAGGCCCAGGGUCCUACAAAUGACCACAUCAUUCUGAGUGCAGAUGAUUUCCAGGGCUUUAUUCCAAAGCAGCUGUUGGUGCGCACAGUAACGGCUGACAAGACCGAGUCCUCAAACUCGGACUCGAUCAAGCUCCCUCAGGCUCUUAUCCAGGAAAUCACUGAUGGUGCUGGCCAAAAACGUCACAAAGGACUCUCCUGUCAAACAACCUGUCAAGAACUCUAUGCCCCUAAAUUCAAUCGUUCCCGACAUAUCGGAGGGAGACGAGGACAUUGAUGCCGUCAUAAACCGCAUUGCUGCAGAAGCAGAGCGCAACAUGAAUACAGGCGCCAAGUCCCAUACAACAUCCACCCCUCAUAAAUCCAACGAGACUUCACCCAAACCGAGGUCAUCGCCAAGGAUACCAGCAAUUGAAAUUACAAGAGACAGUGGUAGUGAAAGGGGAAAUUCUGUGGAUAUAUCGGAGGAGGAGUUAGACGUUUCUAAAUCGCCUGUGAAACACAAACGAACAGACCAUCAUAGUUCAAAAGGACACUCACGAAAUAUAUCGCCAGUCUCCCCAGGGGCCAGUGUGUCUCCAAGUGAGGAAAUUGUGGCCAAUGGCAGACAUUCAAGGCAUUCCCGUGAGAAUUCCCCACAAAGGGAAGGUCAUGUGACUAGUGAAUUGCAAUACAAGAACGAGAAAAACACUUCAAAUCAUGUGUUACCUCCAGACCCUCGGAGGAGGCUUUAUCCAGAGAGCCAUGCCUCCAAUAAGAAUGAGACAUCGCCACCUCAUGAUCAGAGACCGGUCAAGCCUCAAAGGAGGAGUCCCAGGCACGGAGGAAGUCCCAGGAAUAGUCCACACAGGGUUAGUCCUCAGAGGACUCUAGUCCUCACAGGGACUUGGCGGACAGUAAGACUUACAGUGACUCAAAUGCUAACGAUGUGUCCCUGGCAUCGACAGUUUCUGACGGUCGACUGGACAAUAGCGGAGUGCAUCAUGUCCCCCAACUAGACUUAUCUGAUUGUGACGACAGUGGAGAUGUGGACUCGAUCAGUGGAGAGAUCAAUCCGCCGAUCGAGGAUAAUCGAAUCCGUUUGUUUGUGGCCUUGUUUGAUUAUGACCCUGAGAGUAUGUCACCAAAUGUUGAAUGUUUGGAUGAGGAACUCCCUUUAAAGAGGGGCAAAUUAUCAAG